UACAGAGGUCUCAAGCGUUGUUCGGAUUCAUUGGGCGUAAAGGGUGCGUAGGCGGCGCGGUAAGUCGGGUGUGAAAUCUCGGAGCUUAACUCCGAAACUGCAUUCGAUACUGCCGUGCUUGAGGACUGGAGAGGAGACUGGAAUUUACGGUGUAGAGGUGAAAUGCGUAGAUAUCGUAAGGAAGACCAGUGGCGAAGGCGGGUCUCUGGACAGUUCCUGACGCUGAGGCACGAAGGCCAGGGGAGCAAACGGG
rnacentral:rRNA from 1 species